GCGCUUGCUUCGGCAGCACAUAUAUUAAAAGUGGAACGAUACAGAGAAGAUUAGCAUGGCCCCUGCGCAAGGAUGAUACACAUACACACACACACACACACACACACA
rfam:Myotis brandtii contig264360, whole genome shotgun sequence.